ACGGCUAACUACGUGCCAGCAGCCGCGGUAAUACGUAGGUCCCCGAGCGUUAUCCGGAAUUAUUGGGCGUAAAGAGCAUGUAGGCGGUCUAUUUAAGUCUGGUGUGAAAUCUAGUGGCUCAACCACUAAAUUGCAUUGGAAACUGAUGGACUAGAAUACUGGAGGGGCAAGUGGAAUUACCAUGUGUAGCGGUGGAAUGCGUAGAUAUAUGGAGGAACACCAAUGGCGAAGGCAGCUUGCUGGACAGUAAUUGACGCUGAGACUGCGAAAGCGUGGGUAGCCAAACAGGAUUAGAUACCCCUGGUAG
rnacentral:rRNA from 1 species